UGUCCGUCUGUCCCCGGCCGUCUGUCCCCAUCCGUGUCCGUCUGUCUGUCCCUGUCCGUCUGUCUGUCCCUGUCUGUCCCCAUCCAUGUCCGUCUGUCCCCAUCCGUGUCUGUCUGUCCCCAGCCGUCUGUCCCCAUCCGUGUCCGUCUGUCCGUCCCUGUCUGUCCCCCUCCCUGUCCGUCUGUCCCCGUCUGUGUCUGUUUGUCCCCAUCCGUGUCCGUCUGUCCCUGGCCGUCUGUCCCCAUCCGUGUCCGUCUGUCCCCGUCCUUGUCCGUCUGUCCCUGUCCCCAUCCAUGUCCGUCUGUCCGUCCCCAUCUGUCCCUGUCCCCAUCCCUGUCCGUCUGUCCCCAUCCGUGUCCGUCUGUCCCUGUCCCCGCCCCUGUCCGUCUGUCCCUGGCCGUCUGUCCCCAUCCGUGUCCGUCUGUCCCUACCCGUGUCCGUCCGUCUGUCCCCAUCCGUCCGUCCCCGUCCCUGUCCAUCUGUCUGUCCCUGUCUGUCCCCAUCCAUGUCCGUCUGUCUGUCCUCAUCCGUCCGUCCCCAUCCCUGUCUGUCCGUCUGUCCCCAUCCGUGUCCGUCUGUCCCUGUCCCCAUCCCUGUCCGUCUGUCCCUACCCGUGUCCGUCUGUCUGUCCCCAUCCGCCCCUCCCCGUCCCUGUCCGUCUGUCUGUCCCUGUCCGUCUGUCCCCAUCCCUGUCCGUCUGUCCCUGUCCCUGUCUGUCUGUCCCCGUCCGUGUCCGUCGGUCUGUCCCCAUCCGUGUCCGUCCCCACGUCUCAGCCCCACGUCUCAGCCCCACGUCUCAGCCCCACAUCGCAGCCCUCAGCCCCACAUCUCAGCCCCACAUCUCAGCCCCACAUCUCAGCCCCACAUCGCAGCCC
rnacentral:lncRNA from 1 species